UUAAGUUAUUAAGGGCGCACGGUGGAUGCCUUGGCACUAGAAGCCGAUGAAGGACGUUACUAACGACGAUAUGCUUUGGGGAGCUGUAAGUAAGCUUUGAUCCAGAGAUUUCCGAAUGGGGAAACCCAGCAUGAGUUAUGUCAUGUUAUCGAUAUGUGAAUACAUAGCAUAUCAGAAGGCACACCCGGAGAACUGAAACAUCUUAGUACCCGGAGGAAGAGAAAGAAAAUUCGAUUCCCUUAGUAGCGGCGAGCGAAACGGGAAGAGCCCAAACCAACAAGCUUGCUUGUUGGGGUUGUAGGACACUCUAUACGGAGUUACAAAGGACGACAUUAGACGAAUCAUCUGGAAAGAUGAAUCAAAGAAGGUAAUAAUCCUGUAGUCGAAAAUGUUGUCUCUCUUGAGUGGAUCCUGAGUACGACGGAGCACGUGAAAUUCCGUCGGAAUCUGGGAGGACCAUCUCCUAAGGCUAAAUACUCUCUAGUGACCGAUAGUGAACCAGUACCGUGAGGGAAAGGUGAAAAGCACCCCGGAAGGGGAGUGAAAUAGAACCUGAAACCGUGUGCUUACAAGUAGUCAGAGCCCGUUAAUGGGUGAUGGCGUGCCUUUUGUAGAAUGAACCGGCGAGUUACGAUUUGAUGCAAGGUUAAGCAGUAAAUGUGGAGCCGUAGCGAAAGCGAGUCUGAAUAGGGCGUUUAGUAUUUGGUCGUAGACCCGAAACCAGGUGAUCUACCCUUGGUCAGGUUGAAGUUCAGGUAACACUGAAUGGAGGACCGAACCGACUUACGUUGAAAAGUGAGCGGAUGAACUGAGGGUAGCGGAGAAAUUCCAAUCGAACCUGGAGAUAGCUGGUUCUCUCCGAAAUAGCUUUAGGGCUAGCCUCAAGUGAUGAUUAUUGGAGGUAGAGCACUGUUUGGACGAGGGGCCCCUCUCGGGUUACCGAAUUCAGACAAACUCCGAAUGCCAAUUAAUUUAACUUGGGAGUCAGAACAUGGGUGAUAAGGUCCGUGUUCGAAAGGGAAACAGCCCAGACCACCAGCUAAGGUCCCAAAAUAUAUGUUAAGUGGAAAAGGAUGUGGCGUUGCCCAGACAACUAGGAUGUUGGCUUAGAAGCAGCCAUCAUUUAAAGAGUGCGUAAUAGCUCACUAGUCGAGUGACACUGCGCCGAAAAUGUACCGGGGCUAAACAUAUUACCGAAGCUGUGGAUUGUCCUUUGGACAAUGGUAGGAGAGCGUUCUAAGGGCGUUGAAGCAUGAUCGUAAGGACAUGUGGAGCGCUUAGAAGUGAGAAUGCCGGUGUGAGUAGCGAAAGACGGGUGAGAAUCCCGUCCACCGAUUGACUAAGGUUUCCAGAGGAAGGCUCGUCCGCUCUGGGUUAGUCGGGUCCUAAGCUGAGGCCGACAGGCGUAGGCGAUGGAUAACAGGUUGAUAUUCCUGUACCACCUAUAAUCGUUUUAAUCGAUGGGGGGACGCAGUAGGAUAGGCGAAGCGUGCNNNNNNNNNNNNAUUGGAUUGCACGUCUAAGCAGUAAGGCUGAGUAUUAGGCAAAUCCGGUACUCGUUAAGGCUGAGCUGUGAUGGGGAGAAGACAUUGUGUCUUCGAGUCGUUGAUUUCACACUGCCGAGAAAAGCCUCUAGAUAGAAAAUAGGUGCCCGUACCGCAAACCGACACAGGUAGUCAAGAUGAGAAUUCUAAGGUGAGCGAGCGAACUCUCGUUAAGGAACUCGGCAAAAUGACCCCGUAACUUCGGGAGAAGGGGUGCUCUUUAGGGUUAACGCCCAGAAGAGCCGCAGUGAAUAGGCCCAAGCGACUGUUUAUCAAAAACACAGGUCUCUGCUAAACCGUAAGGUGAUGUAUAGGGGCUGACGCCUGCCCGGUGCUGGAAGGUUAAGAGGAGUGGUUAGCUUCUGCGAAGCUACGAAUCGAAGCCCCAGUAAACGGCGGCCGUAACUAUAACGGUCCUAAGGUAGCGAAAUUCCUUGUCGGGUAAGUUCCGACCCGCACGAAAGGCGUAACGAUUUGGGCACUGUCUCAACGAGAGACUCGGUGAAAUCAUAGUACCUGUGAAGAUGCAGGUUACCCGCGACAGGACGGAAAGACCCCGUGGAGCUUUACUGUAGCCUGAUAUUGAAAUUCGGCACAGCUUGUACAGGAUAGGUAGGAGCCUUUGAAACGUGAGCGCUAGCUUACGUGGAGGCGCUGGUGGGAUACUACCCUAGCUGUGUUGGCUUUCUAACCCGCACCACUUAUCGUGGUGGGAGACAGUGUCAGGCGGGCAGUUUGACUGGGGCGGUCGCCUCCUAAAAGGUAACGGAGGCGCUCAAAGGUUCCCUCAGAAUGGUUGGAAAUCAUUCAUAGAGUGUAAAGGCAUAAGGGAGCUUGACUGCGAGACCUACAAGUCGAGCAGGGUCGAAAGACGGACUUAGUGAUCCGGUGGUUCCGCAUGGAAGGGCCAUCGCUCAACGGAUAAAAGCUACCCCGGGGAUAACAGGCUUAUCUCCCCCAAGAGUUCACAUCGACGGGGAGGUUUGGCACCUCGAUGUCGGCUCAUCGCAUCCUGGGGCUGUAGUCGGUCCCAAGGGUUGGGCUGUUCGCCCAUUAAAGCGGUACGCGAGCUGGGUUCAGAACGUCGUGAGACAGUUCGGUCCCUAUCCGUCGUGGGCGUAGGAAAUUUGAGAGGAGCUGUCCUUAGUACGAGAGGACCGGGAUGGACAUACCUCUGGUGUACCAGUUGUCGUGCCAACGGCAUAGCUGGGUAGCUAUGUGUGGACGGGAUAAGUGCUGAAAGCAUCUAAGCAUGAAGCCCCCCUCAAGAUGAGAUUUCCCAACUUCGGUUAUAAGAUCCCUCAAAGAUGAUGAGGUUAAUAGGUUCGAGGUGGAAGCAUGGUGACAUGUGGAGCUGACGAAUACUAAUCGAUCGAAGACUUAAUCAA
rnacentral:rRNA from 1 species